GUCCCAGCCUUAAGAGUAUGUAGGCUUCUUCCCAGCCCUGGGUCCCCACAGUUCCGUGGGCCACGGAGGGGAUCCAGCGGCUUCAAGGAGAAUGAGAGAAACAGCUGAGGAAGGAAAAGCUUCGGUAGCAAGCAGGACAAAACGAAGAGCAAGCAAGGAGGGAUAAGGAGGUGGAAGAUGAUCCCAGGGCACUGGCUGACCACAGGUUUUAGGGUGCAUACAUGUUAUUAGACGCGUUCUCACGACCGGCCAGGAAGAACACCACAGACCAAAAUCUUCUGCGGCAAAACUUUAUUGCUUACAUCUUCAGGAGCAGGAGUGCAAGAANNNNNNNNNNNNNNNNNNNNNNNNNNNNNNNNNNNNNNNNNNNNNNNNNNNNNNNNNNNNNNNNNNNNNGCGCAGAUUAUUUGUUUACCACUUAGAACACAGCUGUCAGCGCCAUCUUGUAACGGCGAAUGUGGGCGCGGCUCCCAACACAUACAGAGCAAAGGUGCUUCACUUCUGAGCGCCAUCACACCUGUUCUCAUUUGUUCCCCUCCCUCGCUGAGCCCACCCCUCCACCAAGUCCCUUUCUUCUUCCACACAGUGUCCCCUCUACAAUCCAUCACCCUGCCACCCCCUUUCCUUGAGAGCUCUUUCCUCUUUUUUCCCUUUUCCCAGCCAGCAAACACACAUGUAUAAGUAGAGACAUAAGUGCACACAUAUAGAUAGGCAUACAUGUACACAUUUAUGAUAGGGAUAUGUGCAAACAUGUCGAUACACAUGCACACAUGUAGAGAAAAAUAUACAUGCACAUAUAUAGACAUAUACACACCCAUAUACAGAGAGGCAUACGUGCUCACAUAUAAAUAGACAUGCACAUAUAUUUAGAUAUAGAUAGAGACAUACAUGCAUACUUGCUUUGUAGAUCAGGCUGGCCUCAAGCUCACAAAGAUCUGCUUGCCUCUGCCUCCUAAAUGCUGGGAUUAAAGGGAUGUGCCACUACCGCCCAGCUUCACCAAGUCUUCUUUUCAGGAAUUCACUGAAACAUCUUAUGAAAACUCACACCAGUGUCUUCCUUCAGAGAACCCAGGCUCCAGCUGUGGCUACCACAUAAGGGUUUUUAAUACAAGAAAAAUAAAGUAAUUAAGUCUGAAAAAAUAGAUAGGUGCACUAAUGUCCCUUUAAUGAGAUAAGGUGAUUUGCCUCCCCAGAACCCCGGCCUCCUGGUAGUUUCUUACAAUGUGACCACAUCCACCUGUGUGAGUGCCCACGCUUUCUGAAUUACUCAGGGAAGUGUAACCUCUCUUCUUUCUGUCUCUUCUCUAGGCAUGCCUUCCUAAUACUUUGGGCUUCCUCACUGUAAGGGUUAGCUUUGUCAGCUUGACCCAAAUCAGGGUCAUCUGGUAAAGGGAACCUCAGCUGACCAAAUGGUUCCAUUAGCCUGGCCUGUGGCCAAGUCUGUGAGGCAUUUUCUUCAUUAGUGACGGAUGUGGGAGGGGAGGGCCCAGCCCACUGUGGGUGAUACAGGUGGGCCUGGGUGCUGUAAGGAAGCAGCCUGAGCAAGCUGUGAAGCAAGCCAGUGUCCCCUGUAGCUUCUGCUCCCAUUCCUGUCCCCGGGUUCCUGUCUAGAGCUCCUACUCGACUCCCCUUGGUGACCUGACAUCUGUAAGAUGAAAUAAACUCUAAGUUCUUUGCCUACAUUGCCUUUGGUUUGUGUUUCAUCACAGCAAUAGGAUGCUCCCCUCCCUGACAUGUGACUGCCCUUUGUGCCUUUUAACUCCAGCAGGAAGACCGGUGGUCCCCUUCUCCUCCCUGUUCUCCACCUUCCAGCAGCUGCAGAGGUUUGUAGCUCACCUGCCCUCUAAUAAAGUUGUCCUCCAGCUUCCGUCU
ensembl:lincRNA Gm4262 predicted gene 4262